rfam:Rhizopogon vesiculosus strain AM-OR11-056 contig11924, whole genome shotgun sequence.
GCCCUGAUGGCUCAGUUGGUUAGAGCGCAGGUCUCAUAUGUAAUGUAUGACUGAGAUAAUUCUCGGGCAAUCCUGAGGUCGCAAGUUCGAACCUUGCUCAGGGCA